AGUGUUUUCUACCACAUCUGCCACCCACUCUUUUUCUCUUGCAGAAGCUGUUUUGGGUGAUACACAAUAACUAAAUAUAUUCAUAUAUAUUCCAGCAGUUAUGUUUACAAACAGAUACAAUUGCUUGGCAAUUUGGUUUGUUAUUUCUGGAUUAAAUCUUAUUAAUUACCUUUUUUUUAAGUAUAAAUUUAAACACAAAUUGUCUCACAGAUCACCUUCCUUGUUUUAAUAACUAUGAGUCUCCAUAAUCAUAUUGCAUGAGACUCAUCGUUAUAUUUAUGCCGGUAAAUACUGGAAAAAAUAUAAGACAUGUUCUUUAAUACUGAGUUAUGGUAACAAUAGCAAACAUUUAAUUAGUGCUUACUAUGAGCAAGGUGCUUUAAUCCUCACAAGAACACUCUGAGGUAGGUAAUAUCCUCAUUCCAAGUUUAUCAAUGAGAAGAGUAAAGCUCAGAUAGGUUAAAUAAAUUUCCCAGUCACGUAGCUAAUAAGCGAUGGAUAUGAAACUGGUAUUCUAAUCUGUUUGCUCUCAAAGUCAGUACUCUUAAGCCAUACGUGUUUUAUCAUUUGGUAAUUCUGCACAUAGACAGUAUUUCUUUCUUGUUUAAGUUGGCUGGAAGCUAUAUAUUAAGAAAUAAAUCAUUGUGGAUGAGAGUGGACUUUUGUAAUCAAAUUCUCUUACACAGUAUUACUGAUGAAUAUUACUGAUAGUAUGUAAUUUUGUUCAUUCCCCCUUUUGCUAUGGAACUUCUCCAAUGGGUCCUAAAUGUGGAUUCACUUCACCAUAGCAGGUCACAGCUGCCUGAGCAAGCUGGAACUUCCGCCACCUGCAUCCCUGGCUCGGAUGCCCUGAAGUGGCCUGUUUUACUUGUAGUCAGAGACAGCAUCCGGAGAGAGUCCCUUUUGCUAUUCCUUGGGAUACCUCCUUCUUAUUCAGCGGACAGUUCCUCUUACAUUUCCUCCUUUAUAUUGAGUUUUCCUUUAUUGCCCUGUGCUAAACCCCAGGCACUGCAGUGAGAUCACUAGCCAAACAAUUCAUGGGGAUCUUCUUAAAUGCUAUGUACGAUAAACAAGAACAGACAGGCCCACAAGACUAGCAGGCACCAGCCAAGAAGGAAAUUCUGAACAGCAUUCUGUCUUCUGACAUUCUUGUUUCUAGUCUUGAAUAUGGUAAAAGAACACAGGUUUAGGAAUUAGGACUUUAGUACUAAGGGUGCCAGUAAAUUCUUAUGGAACUGCAAAUUAUUUAAUCACUCCAGGCACCAAUUUUCUCAUUUGUAAAACAGAGAAAAAAGUUAUUUCCCAGCUUUACUUCACAGGGUUGAGAUGAUUAAAUAUCUUAGAGUAUUUUGAAAACUAGAAGGCACCACACAAAUAAAAUGUGGAAGCAUAUGGUAUUUCCAUGCAGCACAUUAAUACAAGCAUAACAAUGGGGCUUGUAGGAAAUGGAAUCAGUGUCCAGGGACUGUGCAUUUGCACAUUCCUUCUAUGCAAGAAGAUCCUGAUGACUAUAGGAAUUAAGACUGAGAACAGGUUCUAGGGAAAUUUGGCCUUUUCUCUCUAAUCUUUGUAGCAUGACAUUUUGUUUACGGGUUUGGUUUUCAGCUCAGUGGACUGCAGGCCUCUCUGUGAAGUUUCUGCUCCUAGGAUAAAAGCAAAAGGUACACACUAAUACUUCCAAAUUUAAAAUAUGAGUCUUAAGCUAUUGUCAAUGGCAAGAAAGAGAUCCCAAAGAACAACACUUUUAAAUGUUCUAGUUUGGGGUAUCUAGUUUAGGAUAAGCUUUUUGUGAUAAGCAGAGUUUUAAAAUGCCUCUCUGCCCCACCCCACUUCAAGAUUUCCUGCCCUAAUCUUUGAGACUGUGAGUAUAAUGAACUAUCAUGCCUGCUAUUACGAAUGUACUUAAUAUUGCUAAUCAGUUGACUUUGAGUUAGUCAGAAGGGAGUUAAUCAGACCCAGGUAGGUCUAGUCUAAUCAAUUACUUGUGCCCUUUAAAUGCAGAGAAUUUCCUCUGGUGGGCAGCAAAAAAGGAAGUCAGAGAGAUUCCAAGUAAGAGAUGGAUUCAACAUGGCCCUGCUAUCUUAGAAGGUGGAGGGGUCACAUGGCAAAGCAUGCAGGUGGCCUCUGGAAGCUGAGAGUGGCCUCAGCCAAUAGCAAUCAAGGAAGCUUCUAUUUCCAUCUUAACAACUGCAAGGAACUAAAUCCUGCCAAUAAUCAGAAGGAGCUUAGAAGUGAAUUCUUCCCCAGAUCUUCUAGUUUUCGUAAGAGAUACUCAAUUUGUGAUUCAAGACUGUUUCAGUGUAUCAAAUAGGUUUUAAAAAGAAAACAUAUUCGUACACCCAAAGAAUGUUUUGUGGCAAACGAGAGCUUUCUCUUCCUAGAAGAGUGUCUCCUUAGAUUAGCAAAGAGGCUUCAGUGAUUUGCAAACUGGCAGGGCUGCUGAAACACCAUUCUGUCAACUGAUCCUCUAAGAGUGAAAGAAAAUAAAACAGUAAAAGAAGCACUACGGUGAACUUAUGUCUAAUCAACACAAGAAGUGAAUAGCUAAGUGGCAGCUGGAGGAACUGUGGGAGAAAGUGGACUUAUCGUCGCUGAGUUUGUUAUAACUGAGUCAAACAGGUAUCCGGACUUAACGAAGCAAAUUUCAAAAAGGUUAUGUUUCAAGUAUAUUAUCGAGGGCAUUUAUAUUUUUGAGGUGAGGUUGGAUAAAGUUAUUUAUAAAUUCUAGAUUCUGUGAUUUGGUGACUCAGUACUCAAUUACUAUCUGCUUCUUGGAGGUUACCUACUGGUUAACAUAUCUUUGAUUAGUACACAUAUAAAUGCUGAAUAUCUUUAUAUAUCUUAAGAAAAUUAAAUUGUAAUAUUACAUAUAUUCAGUUUAUUAAAUAUGACAUAAAUAUCAAAGUAUGAAUUGAAGGUAUCCUUGAAUUGUGACAGCUUCUAUUUUACAAUGCUUCUGUGACCCUGGACAUUUCCCUCAACUCUUGAUGCCUGAAUCUUCCUUAUUACCUGAGGAAAACAGUCUAGGUCCUUAAUACUUGCCCAAAUAGUUUUACAGGGACCGUGUGAAAACACUUUGAGAUAUAUGCAGUGAUAUAUAAAGUUCCUCAUAUAAACAAUCCAAUUGCUUCCUUGUUUUGCUCAAUACUUUAUUUGAACUUCCUACUGCUCAGUAAUAAAUGACAGAGCGCAUCAGAAGCUAUACUGGAAUGUCGUUUAAACGAAAUAUAGUUUUCAUACAUAUUUUUAAAUAAUUAUUUUUAAGUACAAUACUGUGCUGUAGUGUUCCUACCAUUCAUGAGUUAAAUAACAUGUGAAAUUAGAGAUUCUUAGGAUAUUCUUAAUGGUGUCUGAGCUUAUUCCAUGGUGCAGCUUUGCACCCGUCAUGCACUUGGUUACCACACAGGCCUAACGAAAUGCAUUGUAGUGUCAGCCUUUAGAAGGCCAAGUGGCACACAGGAGCUCGUAUUGAUCAACUAAGUGCAUUGGCUACUGGGCUGGUCCACGUGUUCCAAGCCUUAGUCUAACUGACCCAUGAGAAAGAACAUACUUUGUUUUCUCUGGCUAAUUUUCAUCUUAUUAUAAAUCACUGCUGCUGUGUAAGGAAAAAAUAGGCUUUUAAAAUUUAGCCCUGCCUGUGUCAUUUUCCCUACUAAUCUUCUUUGUGUUUGAGAGAUGUAUAGAAUCUUAUUGGGAUAAGGAAGGGAACUACAGACAGAUGGGCUGUCAGGCUGGGUAAGUAAAAAUGUACAGAGAGGCCUGACUGGUAAUAUCUUCCAGUGGAAGCCGUGUUCUUGAGUAAAUUAUUUAGAAUUUACAUAUAAAUGAUCUCCUUGUGGUCAGUUUUCCAUCUGUGAUCUGACAGCUUGUAGAUGCACAUUUAGUAUGCUUUUAAAAUGCCACCAUUUUACAUUUGAAACAUGUCCAUGUCAAAUGAAAGCAUAGAUCUCCCCAUUCUUUAACUUCCUCUAAAUUCUCCUUACUAAUGGAUAACUAGAGAACUUGUUUAUUGCAUCUGCUUUGUAAGAGGGGUGAUGCCUGUUACUGAAAGUCACUCAAAAGAGAAUUUAGCAUUUCUUGAUGGUUAUAAUUGUAGUAUAUGUUCUGCAUGUCUGUUGGUCUCUCUAUAUAUCUCUACAUUAUCUUCAAGCUUUGACAAAACAACCCUUCUUACAUGAAGGCUAUAUGAUUUAUGCUUGCAAUAUAAUGUAAACAAGCAUUUUUAAAUUGUGGAGAUAGGAUGGUUCAUUUUAAAUUCGGUUCAUUUCAAUAUAAUAGUCCACACUGUGAACGUUUUUGGAUUCAGAGUAAUCAUGAACUUGGAAUUCUUUGGGAAAUGAUAAAUAUACAAGACUCUGAGUUUAACAUUCUCCAAGAGAAUGUACUUGGUAGAGUUCUUUUAUUGUUAUGCUUAAUCCAUGUCUUUUGACUGAUCUAAUAAUAGAGGAAAUUAAUCUCCUAAAAUUUUGAUUAUGCUUUUGAAGUUUCCAAUUUUUACAUUAAUUUCAUCACUGAUCUAUCAUUCUCUCUUAUUAUUACAAAACUGUGUUCACAUUAAAUUCACUUUUUUUUUUAAAUUUGAGAUGGAGUCUCACUCUGUACCUUUGCCUCCCAAGUUCAAGCAAUUCUCCUGCCUCAGCCACCAGAGUAGCUAGGA